GGUCGUGUGGGCGUUCCGGAACGUGGUGCACUUCGACUUCAUCGACCGUCCGUACCGGCUGGUCGUGGAGUUCGAGUCGUCGCCCGGCCU
rnacentral:tRNA from 1 species